UGAGCAGCCAACAGUGGUGAAAGAACAGGUUAGGGACUAUUUAGAAAAGCUGGACAUAUACAAGUCCAUGUGGCCAGAUGGGAUGGACCUGAGGGUGCUGAGGGAGU